rnacentral:lncRNA from 1 species
AAAGGACCAAGUUAGGAUGUAAGGCAAAUAGUCACUAGUAAUUAACUUGAAUUUUCAUGCAUUUGCCUUGAUUUUUCUACCAUUUUUGGCUUGAAUUUUGAGUGGCUUAAUCCAUGACUUUUAGUACUUUUGAGAAGUGAUAUUUUCCAAUAUAUGAAUGAAAUCUUCCUUUUAUUCCAACUUUUCCCUUUUCUUUGAAACCAAGCAAACCUUCGAAAUAACUAUGAAUCUCAAAU